UACGUAGGGUGCAAGCGUUGUCCGGAAUUAUUGGGCGUAAAGAGCUCGUAGGCGGUUUGUCGCGUCGAAUGUGAAAACCCGGGGCUCAACCCCGGGCCUGCAUUCGAUACGGGCAGACUAGGGUUCGGUAGGGGAGGUCUGGAAUUCCUGGUGUAGCGGUGAAAUGCGCAGAUAUCAGGAGGAACACCGGUGGCGAAGGCGGGACUCUGGGCCGAUACUGACGCUGAGGAGCGAAAGCGUGGGGAGCAAACAGG
rnacentral:rRNA from 1 species